AGGGUUCGAUUCUGGCUCAGGAUGAACGCUGACAGAAUGCUUAACACAUGCAAGUCUACUUGAUCCUUCGGGUGAAGGUGGCGGACGGGUGAGUAACGCGUAAAGAACUUGCCUUACAGACUGGGACAACAUUUGGAAACGAAUGCUAAUACCGGAUAUUAUGAUUGGGUCGCAUGAUCUGGUUAUGAAAGCUAUAUGCGCUGUGAGAGAGCUUUGCGUCCCAUUAGUUAGUUGGUGAGGUAACGGCUCACCAAGACGAUGAUGGGUAGCCGGCCUGAGAGGGUGAACGGCCACAAGGGGACUGAGACACGGCCCUUACUCCUACGGGAGGCAGCAGUGGGGAAUAUUGGACAAUGGACCAAAAGUCUGAUCCAGCCAAUUCUGUGUGCACGAUGAAGUUUUUCGGAAUGUAAAGUGCUUUCAGUUGGGAAGAAGUCAGUGACGGUACCAACAGAAGAAGCGACGGCUAAAUACGUGCCAGCCGCCGC
rnacentral:rRNA from 1 species